rnacentral:rRNA from 1 species
CCUACGGGAGGCAGCAGUAGGGAAUAUUGCUCAAUGGGGGAAACCCUGAUGCAGCAACGCCGCGUGGAGGAUGAAGGUUUUCGGAAUGUAAACCCCUUUUAUUAGAGAAGAAAAUGACGGUAUCUAACGAAUAAGCACCGGCUAACUCCGUGCCAGCAGCCGCGGUAAUACGGAGGGGGCAAGCGUUACCCGGAAUCACUGGGUGUAAAGAGCGCGUAGGCGGGAUAGCAAGUCAGAUGUGAAAUCCCAGGGCUGAACCCUAGAACUGCAUUUGAAACUGUUAUUCUAGAGUAUGGGAGGGGUAGGCGGAAUUCGUGGUGUAGCGGUGAAAUGCGUAGAGAUCAGGAGGAAUACUCAUUGCGAAGGCGACCUGCUGGAACAUAACUGACGCUGAGGCGCGAAAGCGUGGGGAGCAAACAGGAUUAGAUACCCCAGUAGUC